rnacentral:lncRNA from 1 species
GUGUGAUUAUAUUAGCAGUAACGGCUUCAGAAGACUUAAGAUAUUGCAUACCAAUCAUAUGGACAAUUUGUAUGGAUUAAUUUUACAGAUUCCUAUGGAUUUAUGCUAAAACUUUUCUGAGGAGGCUGUUGGCGCAAGUGAUUCCCACUUUCGGAUCUGAGGUCUCGUCCAAUCGAGUGAGAGAUCCCUCCAUGAAAAGGGCAGGCUGCCAAGCCACGGCGACUGUGACAGAGCAAUGCAUUAGGACAUUAAGACACCCACUCCCUUGCUGAAAAUCAAUCACACACUUCUGCAUGCAUUAUGGGCAGAGAAGGGCACCCGGCAGAUUGCUUGCUACCUCUAUGGCUGCAGUCGGGCCAGCCCUACCUCCAUGUCCUUUCUGUUCUUAUCAUGCCCUUGUUGAAGAGGAGGGUUGGGACCUGAAGACGCCGAAACGUCUGUUUCUCAGGAUGACCAGCGGCGAGAGAAGAUGAGGGAAGAUGAUUGUAUGAAUGUACCAGCAAGUGCAAAAUGUGAAGAAAGUGGAUAAAAUAGACGCUGCAAAAGCAAAAUGACGAUCUGUAGCAACACCUGAUCUUGAGGCUGCUUAUUUACAUGUAGAUUGGAUCUGGGCCACCUUGCCAUACAUCAUUUUAUUUCUGCGUGGUGAGAUUUAUUUAUUUACAUUUUAUUUUUUUCACUCCAUUUAUUCUUAGUGAUUUGACUCUUUUUCAACUCUUUCAG